AUUUUCUGUUAUGUGUUCUGUCAUUUUGUAGUCCGUUUUGAAAGUGAACAGACGUUUGCGUUUACACACCUUUAAAUUUUCUGGAAAUUUUUCGAAAAACUCUUAGCUAAAUAUUAUACACAAUGGCCCCUAAACAAAGAAUGCGUAUCGCCAACGAAAAAGCCAGCAAAAUGGUCACAAUGAGGGGCAACGUACCCAAAUCGUCGAAACAAGAGAAGGAAUCAUCCCCUGUAGGUCCAUGGCUGUUGGCUCUCUUCCUGUUUGUUGUAUGUGGCUCGGCAGUCUUUCAAAUUAUCCAGUCUAUCCGUAUGGCAUAAAACCUCAAUCCUUUUUGUAAGACAAAAAUAUCCUCUAUUUUUUUGACAGAUAUAUUUCGUUUUCUACAAACGUAAUGUUUUUUUUCUAUGAUACGCUAGUGCAAUUAGUUGUUUCUUAACUUUUGUAAAUUUAUACCAGCCCGUUUGUGUAAUUCUAUUUUAUGCAAUGUAAUUUACCGAACCUAAAGUGUGUGUACAAUAAAAUAUGUAAGGACUGUAAUGAUAUUGUAAUUUAUAGUUUAAA